ACCGCCUUGGGAUAGGCUUGCGUCUGAUUAGCUAGUUGGUGUGGUAACGGCACACCAAGGCUACGAUCAGUAACUGGUCUGAGAGGAUGAUCAGUCACACUGGAACUGAGACACGGUCCAGACUCCUACGGGAGGCAGCAGUGAGGAAUAUUGGGCAAUGCACGAAAGUGUGACCCAGCAACGCCGCGUGGAGGAUGAAGGUAUUCUAUAUCGUAAACUCCUGUGAGAGCAGACGAAAGACAGAUUAUUAAUUUGGAUGACUGUAUGCUCAGAGGAAGCCCCGGCUAACUACGUG
rnacentral:rRNA from 1 species